rnacentral:rRNA from 1 species
UACGUAGGCAGCGAGCGUUGUUCGGAAUUACUGGGCGUAAAGAGUGUGUAGGCGGUGUUCCCAGUCUGUUGUGAAAUCUCCCGGCUUAACUGGGAGGGUGCAGCGGAAACUAGAAUGCUAGAGGGUGGGAGAGGUAAGCGGAAUUCCUGGUGUAGCGGUGAAAUGCGUAGAUAUCAGGAGGAACACCGGUGGCGAAGGCGGAUCUCUGGGCCAUUACUGACGCUGAGGAGCGAAAGCGUGGGGAGCGAACAGG